rnacentral:rRNA from 1 species
GACGAACGCUGGCGGCGUGCUUAACACAUGCAAGUCGAACGCUGAAGCUCAGCUUUUGUUGGGUGGAUGAGUGGCGAACGGGUGAGUAACACGUGAGUAACCUGCCUCCUUCUUUGGGAUAACGCCCGGAGACGGGUGCUAAUACUGGAUAUUCACUGGUCUUCGCAUGGGGGUUGGUGGAAAGGGUUUUUCUGGUGGGGGAUGGGCUCGCGGCCUAUCAGCUUGUUGGCGGGGUGAUGGCCUACCAAGGCUUUGACGGGUAGCCGGCCUGAGAGGGUGACCGGUCACAUUGGGACUGGGAUACGGCCCAGACUCCUACGGGAGGCAGCAGUGGGGAAGAUUGCACAAUGGGCGCAAGCCUGAUGCAGCGACGCCGCGUGAGGGAUGGAGGCCUUCGGGUUGUGAACCUCUUUCGCUCAUGGUCAAGCCGCAACAAUGGUUGUGGUGAGGGUAGUGGGUAAAGAAGCGCCGGCUAACUACGUG